GGAUGCGAUCAUACCAGCACUAAAGCAUCGGAUCCCAUCAGAACUCCGAAGUUAAGCGUGCUUGGCGAGAGUAGUACUAGGAUGGGUGACCUCCUGGGAAGUCCUCGUGUUGCAUUCC
rnacentral:rRNA from 1 species